rnacentral:misc_RNA from 1 species
GAAAAGUAUAAAUGCACCAUUAAUUCUAGAAGCCAGAUAACAAAGGUCAGGUUACUUGUCAACAAAAUACUAAUAGAAGCACAAAAAACUGCAUCUAAACACUUGAAAUAGAUAGGACAAGAUUUAGUAAGUGAAUGAUUGAUAUAGUGCUCCCAAAAUCAUAAUGUCCAAAAGAAAACAUGCAAACGAAAUUAAUAGCCUCAACCAGUGAUCACAACCAAAAGAGAAAAUGCAAAUGUUUCCUUUUCCAGAUUUCGUACCUCUGGAUGGCCUCCAGGGAAAAC